AGAGUUUGAUCAUGGCUCAGGAUGAACGCUAGCUACAGGCUUAACACAUGCAAGUCGAGGGGCAGCAUUGGAGUAGCAAUACUUCAGAUGGCGACCGGCGCACGGGUGAGUAACACGUAUCCAACCUGCCGCUUACUCGGGGAUAGCCUUUCGAAAGAAAGAUUAAUACCCGAUGGUAUAAAGAGUUCGCAUGUUCUCUUUAUUAAAGAAUUUCGGUAAGCGAUGGGGAUGCGUUCCAUUAGAUAGUUGGCGGGGUAACGGCCCACCAAGUCUACGAUGGAUAGGGGUUCUGAGAGGAAGGUCCCCCACAUUGGAACUGAGACACGGUCCAAACUCCUACGGGAGGCAGCAGUGAGGAAUAUUGGUCAAUGGACGAGAGUCUGAACCAGCCAAGUAGCGUGAAGGAUGACUGCCCUAUGGGUUGUAAACUUCUUUUAUAAGGGAAUAAAGUGAGGGACGUGUCCCUUUUUGUAUGUACCUUAUGAAUAAGGAUCGGCUAACUCCGUGCCAGCCGCUGC
rnacentral:rRNA from 1 species